UUUCCAGUUGUCUGCCGGGUUGAGGAAUCUGAUGGUGUGAGGCUUUGAUCCCUGGAGCUGGGUAACCCUUCUCUGGCUUGCCCUUGAUAUCCCCCAAAGGAUUGCAAUGUGGAAGAGGAGGUAGCAUGCAAGAUAUCCAGGCUUCCCCAGGAAGAGCAAAAUAUGGGAUCAAGGGUGUUAAUGCCUCAUCCUGCCAUAAGGAAAAAAGUACCAUGCCCAGAUGGUUUUACAGGCAGCUGCUGCCAACUCAGUCUGGGACCCAUGGAGCAGACCUGUGCCCAUCAGGAAGCCUGGAGCCAACCUGACCCAGCUGGGCUCAGCCUGGAUCAGCCAAACCACUGGAUCAGUCAACCUGCAGCCCCCCAUGUAUGAAAAAAAAAUUGUAAAUUUGUUGUUGUAAGCCUCUGG